rnacentral:rRNA from 1 species
AUCAGUGGCGAACGGGUGAGUAACACGUGAGCAACCUGCCCCUGACUCUGGGAUAAGCGCUGGAAACGGCGUCUAAUACUGGAUAUGUGACGUGACCGCAUGGUCUGCGUUUGGAAAGAUUUUUCGGUUGGGGAUGGGCUCGCGGCCUAUCAGCUUGUUGGUGAGGUAAUGGCUCACCAAGGCGUCGACGGGUAGCCGGCCUGAGAGGGUGACCGGCCACACUGGGACUGAGACACGGCCCAGACUCCUACGGGAGGCAGCAGUGGGGAAUAUUGCACAAUGGGCGCAAGCCUGAUGCAGCAACGCCGCGUGAGGGAUGACGGCCUUCGGGUUGUAAACCUCUUUUAGCAGGGAAGAAGCGAAAGUGACGGUACCUGCAGAAAAAGCGCCGGCUAACUACGUGCCAGCAGCCGCGGUAAUACGUAGGGCGCAAGCGUUAUCCGGAAUUAUUGGGCGUAAAGAGCUCGUAGGCGGUUUGUCGCGUCUGCUGUGAAAUCCCGAGGCUCAACCUCGGGCCUGCAGUGGGUACGGGCAGACUAGAGUGCGGUAGGGGAGAUUGGAAUUCCUGGUGUAGCGGUGGAAUGCGCAGAUAUCAGGAGGAACACCGAUGGCGAAGGCAGAUCUCUGGGCCGUAACUGACGCUGAGGAGCGAAAGGGUGGGGAGCAAACAGGCUUAGAUACCCUGGUAGUCCACCCCGUAAACGUUGGGAACUAGUUGUGGGGUCCAUUCCACGGAUUCCGUGACGCAGCUAACGCAUUAAGUUCCCCGCCUGGGGGAGUACGGCCGCAAGGCUAAAACUCAAAGGAAUUGACGGGGACCCGCACAAGCGGCGGAGCAUGCGGAUUAAUUCGAUGCAACGCGAAGAACCUUACCAAGGCUUGACAUAUACGAGAACGGGCCAGAAAUGGUCAACUCUUUGGACACUCGUAAACAGGUGGGGGCAGGGUUGUCGUCAGCUCGUGUCGUGAAAAGGUUGGGGUUAAGUCCCGCAACGAGCGCAACCCUCGUUCUAUGUUGCCAGCACGGUAAUGGUUGGGAACUCAUUGGGA